rnacentral:rRNA from 1 species
AGCUCCAAUAGCGUAUAUUAAAGUUGUUGCAGUUAAAAAGCUCGUAGUUGGAUUUCUGGUAGGAGUGACCGUUCCGGACUUGAUUGUCUGUGUAUUGUGUUGUCUCCAGCCAUCCUUGUGGAGAACUUUUCUUGCAUUAAUUUGUAGGGAUUGAGACCCGCAUCGUUUACUGUGAAAAAAUUAGAGUGUUUAAAGCAGGCAAUCGCUUGAAUACAUUAGCAUGGAAUAAUAAGAUAGGACUUUGGUACUAUUUUGUUGGUUUGCAUACCAAAUUAAUGAUCAACAGGAACAGUUUGAGGAUAUUCGUAUGAACAUGUCAGAGGUGAAAUUCUUGGAUUUUGAUCAGACGAACUACUGCGAAAGCAUUUAUCAAGGAUGUUUUCAUUAAUCAAGAACGAAA